rnacentral:tRNA from 1 species
GGAAGGGUCGCAUAGUGGCCUAGUGCGCACGCUUGGAAAGCGUGUAUACCGCAAGGUAUCGAGGGUUCGAAUCCCUCCCCUUCCG